UAUUGAGUACAUUUGGGGCUACAUUUUGCUUUAUAUCUCAAUCAAAAGUGCCUCAAUCUCACAUUUGUGUCAAUGAGGUGCAAAGUGGCACUCUCAAU